AUUGAACGCUGGCGGCAGGCCUAACACAUGCAAGUCGAGCGAGCAGCGGAGGGGGGCGUAAUGGCUGGGAAACCGCCGGAUGGAGGGGGAUCACUGCUGGAAACGGUAUGUAAUCACGCAUCCAAUCAGAUGUGCCCUGAUGGGAUUAGCUAGUAGGUGGGGUAACGGCUCAGCUAGGCGACGAUCCCUAGCCGGUCUGAGAGGAGGACCGGCCACACUGGAACUGAGACACGGUCCAGACUCCUACGGGAGGCAGCAGUGGGGAAUAUUGGACAAUGGGCGCAAGCCUGAUGCAGCCAUGCCGCGUGUGUGAAGAAGGCCUUCGGGUUGUAAAGCACUUUCAGCGGGGAGGCGUUAUCCGCAGAAGAAGCACCGGCUAACUCCGUGCCAGCAGCCGCGGUAAUUC
rnacentral:rRNA from 1 species